UUUAAGGCGUAGAAGCACCAAGCCUGCCGCGGCUGGACAAGGAAAGGCCGUGUGCUGCGAGGAGCCAGACUCCUCGGAACCGCAGCGCCAACUCAGCCACUUCCCGGUGCUGGCGCCCCCGCCCGGCGCUGUCCCCUAGACAGAAACCACGGCUCCGCCUGGCGGGCACCGGCUGCCUCAAGCUUCCUGGCCCCGGCAUGGUUUUCAUCGCCCGUGUCCGGGGCUGAUUUUCAGCUUCGAACACUCUUGUCACAUGCACAUGCCAGCUCAGCGUGGAGCGAUGCUGUGAACCCCGCAGGAACCUCGGUGUUUCCUCGGAGCUCCUCUUCAGGACAGAGAGGUGCUGGCGCGCUGUCUCCGGGAACGAGGAUGCUUUGGCAAGGGAUGAAUCCCCUGCAAAUGAAACCCGUUUUCUUAAAUAUAUUGAGGCCAGAACACUGAGCUUGGAAAGGCUUAUCUCUAUUAAAGGAACACAUACUGUAGGGUCCAUGAAUAGGAGGAUUAAAGCCCCCAUAUACUUUAGAAGGUUUUAUGUAGCUGCUUUGACAGAAACAAACAGAAGUAAAAUGUCUGCAUACAAACAUCUGAAACAGCUUAGGACUCUCGGGGCACCUGGGUGGCACAGUCGGUUAAGCAUCUGACUUCGGCUCA